UCAUUGUGAUUGGAUUGCAUGCAUCGUGAUUAAUGCAAGUAAAUAUCACUGUAAUUCAAGGAAUUUAUUGCCAUUACUUUGCCAGUUUUGGUCAAUCCAAUCCUGAGGACUGACAUUGUGAUGUGGUAUUAAAAAUAGCCAAAUUUUUGCUAUUGAAUGGCAUGUGACCAAGCCCUUUAUUUGGAACGACUGUGUUAAAAAACAUUCAUGUCAAAUAUUAACAAGAGGACUAUAAAACAAAACCAAACCGGUUCACUUACUUUCUCCAAUAGCUUCUUGCGUCACUGAAGCUAUUCAUAACAUCAAAAUAUUUUCUCAGGUUUUUCCUGGUUGAUCCAUCCAGACUUAACAGCUGGUUAUCGUGUUUCAACAGCAGUGUGGUCUUUAUGCACAGAUUGAAAAAUCAGAACUAGAAAUCUCUCUCAACUGCUGUUUUCAGAUGCGGAUUAAGCUCUAGUAUGUGCAAUUCCGUUCAAUAUCAUCUGGAGCUUUGAGAUAAAAAGUGAGUUUUGUGACCUUCAAACUUGAAGACAGUAAAAUGACAAAAAAACAGAAAGAGAGAGAAGUAAAAGAACAAAAUGUCACAGAAGAAAAAGAAAAACAGAAAAAAGAAACGGCAUUGAAAGAUGAAUCCAAACUCAAACAGAAGGAAGGACUGACGGAGGGAGCAACAGAAUCUGCAUGUGAAUUCAGAGAACAUUUAAAACUGGACCAGAAGAACAGCAUUGGUAGAUUCGUCGACUUUCGUCCUUGAAGCAGACAGACCUGUAAAGUGCCAUUCUGAUAUUCCAGAGCAAGCUGUUGUUCCUGUCGACUGACUGGUGGAAUGCAGUUGAUGUCACUUUUGGUCACUGAUUCACAGCCGUUGACUGAACUCCAAACUGCAAACGUUUCCCCCUCUGAAAUGCACCGAUUUCAAGACUUUAGUGCUUGGUUAUGAUAUCUGUACUGUGUACAUAUUUUUUUCAAUAUUUCAUAUUGAUUUGAUUUCGAGUAGGUAGACCUACUUUGUAGGCUAUAUGAACUAAUGAGCUAAUAACACGAUUACUACGUAACAUCACAAUUAUAAUGUCAUGGUUGAGACAGGCAGAGUUAAAGCAGUACCACUAAGAUGAACAUGUUUGUGAAUUAAUUUCAUAUAUGUAAGUAUGGUGCCAAUUUGAUGCAGGAAUGUUUAUUCACUAUCACUCUCAACCGCUAGAAGGAAGCAGCUAUAAAAACACAGUGAGGUUCAAAAGUGAAAACUAAUUUAAACCUGGAAUAUGCAAAGUUUUCGGAUUUUAAAAUACACGUUAUGACAAAGUGAAUUUAGGAAUAGAUUAUUUGAUUGCCUAUUUUUAGGUCACGCAUCAAAUAAGCAAUUAGUGACUGAUCAUUUUAGCACUUUGUUAUUUUUAAUUGCUUUCACUGAAGCACACAAGGUGUUUUAUGCUGGAUAACUUGAUCAUCAGUUUUUGCUCAUGCCCAAAGUAUGCUGUAAUUAAAGCAAAAAGCGGGGCAUAAAAUACAAAGAAAUUAAAUUUUCACUUUAAUUGUUAUGCUGAUAAUAUAAUUAGAAUAAAUGAAAAAUAACCCACUGUGUAUAUUAUAGCAUUAAGCUGAAAAGAGUGGAGGAGAGAAGUGAUUCUUGAACAAACCUUCUCUUCACUUUCUGUUGUUUUCAAACACUUCAUCUGUGAUGAACUACUUCAUUUAUAGUUCAGGAUCUUAUAGAUCUUUUACCUAUACUGUAACUUCAGGCAAAAGAUGCUUUCAUAACACUUGCCGUUUAGAUUGUCAUUUUUACUCAUAAAGAAGUCAUAUUUUGGUGACAGAACUUAAAUGCCUUUAAGUAUACAGUUUCCAAAAUGUGAGCACCUGAAAGAUUUUUCUCCCGUGUGAAUUCUUAUGACCCUUCAAGCUUGAUUGAAAUUUGAAGCUCUUUUCACACUGAGGACAUGUAAAACGCCUCUCUCUGGUAUGGAUUCUUAUGUAUCAUAAGAUCUCCUUUUUGUUUGAAACUUUUCCCACACUGAGGGCAGGUGAAAGAAUUUUUGGCUUCUGCUCUUUGAGCGGUUUCUUGUGUCAAAUUCUUUUCUCCAGUUGUAAAAUGAUGUGGUUCCUCCUCCACUUCAUUUAGUUCCAACAGGAUUGAAAUAAACAUCUGCAAAUGUCAAAGAUUCAAUAAUAAAGGUGACAUGAAAUAAACAACAAAUAAAACAUUUUAUGGACUAAAAGUUAAUUCUGUCAUCAGAUCUUGUAGGCAAUUGCUGCUAAUGACACAUUUGUCUAAGUCAUUUUCCAGUCUUUUCUCUUCCUAUAUUGUUUUGUUGUUGUUUGUAAUGAGUCGUCCCAGUCUAGGUUGGGAAAACUGUAACAAGAAGGUUUUGGUUCCACUCUUCCAUCCCAGCACUCAAAAAUAGUCAUGUUUGGGGUCCUGGGUAGCUCAGUGGUAAAGACGCUGGCUAUCUCCCCUGGAGUUCGCUAGUUCGAAUCCAGGGUGUGCUGAGUGACUCCAGCCAGGUCGCCUAAGCAACCAAAUUGGCCCGGUUGCUAGGGUGGGUAGAGUCACAUGGGGUAACCUCCUCAUGGUCGCUAUAAUGUGGUUCGAUCUCGGUGGGGCGCAUGGUGAGUUGAGCAUGGAUGCCGCGGCAGAUGGCGUGAAGCCUCCACACGUGCUAUGUCUCCGUGGCAACGCACUCAACAAGCCACGUGAUAAGAUGCGCGGGUUGAUGGUCUCAGACGCAAAUCACUACGCGACCACGAGGACUUAAAAAAAAAAAGCACAUUGGGAAUUGGGCAUUCCAAAUUGGGAGAAAAAGGAAAAAAAACAAAAAAAAAAACAAAUAAUAAUAAUAAAUAGUCACGUUUUUGGAAAGCAAAAUAAGGCAUUUAUUUAAUAUUGAAUGAGAAAGGAGGUAAAACUUCAGGCUUCAGGAGGGGCCAAAGGCCAAAAUAACAAACAAAAGUUGACGAAUUCCUAAAGGGGGUGUCAAAUAACUUUCCUAGAAAAGAAAAUGGAAAUAAACAACAUAAAUAUACUCUAACUCCCUUUCUACCCAAAAAACAAAAUGGCAUCCACCUCCCUACAAAUGCUCCCAAAGUAAUCAGUCCAAGGCACGCUUGACUUAGGAAAAUACCUUUUAACCACAGUAAACUCAAUAGGCACGAAUGCAAUCUCAACAGAUACACAACAAAUUCACAAAAGACUAUAACAACAUGUCUAAGCCAGGAGAGGGGAAAUGGGAAUGAAGCUUUCUAGCAGCUUUUAUCCUCCUUUUAUACCUCAUAAAUUCUUUGGAGUUGUGCCCACACCUCUUUAAUAUUCCUCAAUCUUUCUCUUAUAAACAGAGCAAAAAAAAAAGGGAAAAAAAAGAGAAAGAAAUGGCAAAAAAAAUACAAUAAAAUAAUAAUAAUGAUAUAAUGGCUUAGUUACCAAAAGUGUAUAGCGGGUGUAUAUAAACUUAUCAUAUCUAUAAAUGUUUACUAUCACAGGAUAUCUAUUUCUUUGCUUAUAACAAGACAAAUGAGUACUAAUUCAUACUAUAUCAUGUCGAUUUCAUUAUCAGUAUCUCAUAUGCGUGUACACAUACAUAUUAUACAUGUUAUUUCU